AUUGAACGCUGGCGGCAGGCUUAACACAUGCAAGUCGAGCGGGGGGAGGUGCUUCGGUACUGACCUUAGCGGCGGACGGGCGAGUAUUGCUUAGUGAUCUGCCUAUUAGUGGGGGACAACAUCACGACAGGUAUGCUAAUACCGCAUACGGCCUAUGGGAGAAUGCAGGGGAUCACUUGUGUCCUUGCGCUAACAGAUGAGUACAAGUCGGAUUAGCUAGGUGGUAGGGUAAAGGCCUACCAAGGCAACGAUCUGUAGCGGGUCUGAGAGGAUGAUCCGCCACACUCGGACUGAGACACGGCCCAGAAACCGACGGGAGGCAGCAGUGGGGAAUAUUGGACAAAGGGGGGAGCCCUGAUCCAGACACGCCGCGUGUGUGAAGAAGGCCUUAUGGUUGUAAAGCACUUUAAGCGAGGAGGAGGCUCUUUUGGUUAAUACCCAAGAUGAGUGGACGUUACUCGCAGAAUAAGCACCGGCUAACUCUGUGCCAGCAGCCGCCGUAA
rnacentral:rRNA from 1 species